rnacentral:rRNA from 1 species
CGCGCUGCACGUCGGCUUAACGAUAAGCAGUGGAAAAGAAACUAACACGGAUUACGCUAGUACCAGCGAGUGAAGCGGGAAAAGCUCAAAUUUAAUCUCUGGCAGCCAUUUUAUGCUUGUCCGAGUUGUAAUCUAGAGAAGUGCUUUCCGAGCUGGUUCGUGCACAAGUCUCUUGGAAUAGAGCAUCAUAGAGGGUGAGAAUCCCGUCUUUGACAAGGUGUUCCAGUGCUUUAUGUGAUGCGCUCUCAAAGAGUCGAGUUGUUUGUGAAUGCAGCUCAAAAUGGGUGUGUAACAUUCCUUCUAUAGUUAAAUAUUGGCGAGAGACCGAUAGUGAACAUGUCUCGUGAGGGAAAGAUGAAAAGAACUUUGGAAAGAGAGUUAAACAGUACGUGAAAUUGUUGAAAGGGAAACGCUUGAAGUCAGUCACGUUGGCCAGAAAUCAACUUGUAACAGGGCGUAAUUUCUGGUUUUACGGGUCAACAUCAAUUUUGAUUGUUGGAUAAAAGUCAAUAUUUAUGCGUUUUCGGACGUGUAGCCUUUGAUUGCAUACAAUGGUUGGGAUUGAGGAACUCAGCACGCCGCAAGGCCGGGUAACUUGUUACCACGUAACGUGCUUAGGAUGUUGGCAUAAUGGCUUUAAUCGUCCCGUCUUGAAACACGG